CAGCUUAACAUCAAGCGCGACCGCUACAUCUUCAAUUUACAGCCCAAAAAAAGGCUUUUUCAACGUUACUUGUACCUUUACACGGCCGCAGCUAGACAUAUGUACAUGUUUUGUGGCAGCUAAUCCAGCGGACACAAUGCCAACUGUGUGCUAGGAUAGAUAAUGUAGUUCAACUGUUCGUUUCUCAGGUGGGACAGACGAGUCUGGGAAGACCAGCAGCUCACUCAUUGAUUCGUUGUAGAGAUCACAAACUUCAAAGUGGCCGAAAUGGACGAA